rnacentral:lncRNA from 1 species
CCACAUCGAGACUGUCUUCAUGGAUGCUCCGGCUGCUGAGAAUGAUGGCAAGUGCAAGUGCGGCAGCAGCUGCGCCUGCACCAAUUGCACCUGUGGCACCUGUGGUCAUUGAGCACAGAAACCCGAUGUUAUAUGCAUGUGCUGUGAAAGUCACCUAUAAUGUGGUUGUGACGUAAUUUUAAUGUUGUCCUCUACUGUCUUUUGUGCUUCUUCAGUGGCAUCUGCACCACGGUGCAGAUGCCUCGCUAAUAAUAUCAUGUAAUACCAUCUUUAUGGCUCAAUCAUAAAUGAACUAAUAUUAGUAUAAGCUUGACUUCUCCCUUUACUUGAUUAGUUAGUACGAUUGCCUCUCGAUUUGUUAAUACGAUAUUUGUCCCCGCGUGAUGAGUGAGCAUCUAUGGUGAUGUGAAGGGUGCUAAAAUUCAAACCUUAAAGGAAUUUCACAUACAUAAGACGAGCUAGAUCAUGCUAUCAAUUAUUAUUACCAAAGCACGUGAUGGUAAUGAUCAAUGAGCGAGAAUCAGGAGCAACAGGUGAUGGUUUCAAAAACUUUGGAUGCUUCAGCUUGAGCUUUUCAUGGCCCACAUCAAGUCAAUUGAAU